ACUCAAAUGAAUUGACGGGGACCCGCACAAGCGGUGGAGUGUGUUCUUUAAUUCGAUGGUAAGCGAAGAACCUUACCCAGGUUUGACAUCCUUGGAAUUUCUCCGAAAGGAGAAAGUGCUUUUAGAGCCAAGUGACAGGUGUUGCAUGGCCGUCGUCAGCUCGUGUCGUGAGAUGUUUGGUUAAGUCCAUCAACGAGCGCAACCCUUGUGAAUAGUUGAAUUUUUCUAUUCAGACUGCCCUGGUAACAGGGAGGAAGGGGGGGAUGAUGUCAGGUCAGUAUUACCCUUACAUCUGGGGCUAGAAACACACUACAAUGGCCGGUACAAAGGGCAGCCAAGUCGCGAGACGGAGCAAAUCCCAUCAAAGCCGGUCUCAGUUCGGAUAGCAGGCUGAAACUCGCCUGCUUGAAGCUGGAAUCGCUAGUAACGGUAGGUCAGCAUACUACCGUGAAUACGUUCCCGGGUCUUGUACACACCGCCCGU
rnacentral:rRNA from 1 species